AUUGAACGCUGGCGGCAGGCCUAACACAUGCAAGUCGAGCGGAGCUGCGGACGGGUGAGUAAUGCCUAGUAAUCUGCCUGUUAGUGGGGGAUACCGUCCGGAAACGGGCGCUAAUACCGCAUACUAUCAGAUGACCCUAGGUUGUAUUAGCUAGUUGGGGGGGUAAAGGCAUACAAAGGCGACGAUCCUUAACUGAUCUGAGAGGAUGAUCAGUCACACUGGAACUGAGACACGGGCCAGACUCCUACGUGAGGCAGCAGUAGGGAAUAUUGGACAAUGGGCGAAAGCCUGAUCCAGCCAUGCCGCGUGUGUGAAGAAGGUCUUCGGAGUGUAAAGCACUUUAAGUUGGGAGGCGGUACCAACAGAAAAAGCACCGGCUAACUUCGUGCCAGCAGCCGCGGUAAUUC
rnacentral:rRNA from 1 species